GACGAACGCUGGCGGCGUGCUUAAAACAUGCAAGUCGAACGAUGAACAGGCCUUCGGUCCUGGGAUUAGUCGCGAACGGGUGCGUAACACGCGAGCAACCUACCCCGAAGAUCGGAAUAGCGGCUGGAAACGGCCGGUACUCCCGGCUGUCUUAUUUGAUCGCAUGAUCGGAGAAUGAACGAUUUAGCGCGUUGGGAGGGGCUCGCGGCCCAUCAGCUUGUUGGAGAGGUAACGGCUCACCAAGGCUACGACGGGUAACUGGUCUGAGAGGACGACCAGUCACACUGGGACUGAGACACGGCCCAGACUCCUACGGGAGGCAGCAGUUAGGAAUCUUGCGCAAUGGACGAAAGUCUGACGCAGCAACGCCGCGUGAAGGAUGAAGGUUCUCGGAUCGUAAACUUCUUUUAGCAGGAACGAAAAUGACGGUACCUGCAGAAAAAGCACCGGCUAACUACGUGCCAGCCGCCGCGGUAACAC
rnacentral:rRNA from 1 species